rnacentral:rRNA from 1 species
ACUCCUACGGGAGGCAGCAGUGGGGAAUAUUGCACAAUGGGCGGAAGCCUGAUGCAGCAACGCCGCGUGCGGGAUGACGGCCUUCGGGUUGUAAACCGCUUUCAGCAGGGACGAAGCGCAAGUGACGGUACCUGCAGAAGAAGCACCGGCUAACUACGUGCCAGCAGCCGCGGUAAU